UACGUAGAUGGCAAGCGUUGUCCGGAUUUAUUGGGCGUAAAGCGCGCGCAGGCGGUUCUUUAAGUCUGAUGUGAAAGCCCCCGGCUCAACCGUGGAGGGUCAUUGGAAACUGGAAAACUUGAGUGCAGAAGAGGAAAGUGGAAUUCCAUGUGUAGCGGUGAAAUGCGUAGAUAUAUGGAGGAACACCAGUGGCGAAGGCGACUUUCUGGUCUGUAACUGACGCUGAGGUGCGAAAGCGUGGGGAGCAAACAGG
rnacentral:rRNA from 1 species